CCCUUAGAUGUCCUGGGCAGCACGCGUGCUACAAUGAUGCAUUCAACGAGUCUUGCCUUAACCGAAAGGUUCGGGUAAACUUUUGAAAUUGUAUCUUGUCGGGGCUUGAUCAUUGUAAUUUUUGAUCACAAACAAGGAAUUCCUUGUAAAUGUGAGUCAUCAACUUGCAUUGAAUACGUCCCUGCCCUUUGUACACACCGCCCGUCGCUUCUACCGAUGAAUGAUCCGGUGAACACUCUGGACUUGUUGUCUGUCGGAGCAAUCCAAAGACGAUAGGGAAGUUGUGUAAACCUUAUCAUUUAGAGGAAGAAGAAGUCGUAACA
rnacentral:rRNA from 1 species